rnacentral:rRNA from 1 species
AUUGAACGCUGGCGGGAGGCUUAACACAUGCAAGUCGAACGAGUGGCGGACGGGUGAGUAAUAUAUGGGAACGUGCCCGAUGGAGGGGGAUAACUACUGGAAAGGGUAGCUAAUACCGCAUACCAUCGGAUGUGCCCAGAUGGGAUUAGCUAGUAGGUGGGGUAAAGGCUCACCAAGGCGACGAUCCGUAGCUGGUCUGAGAGGAUGACCAGCCACACUGGAACUGAGACACGGUCCAGACUCCUACGGGAGGCAGCAGUGGGGAAUAUUGCACAAUGGGCGCAAGCCUGAUGCAGCCAUGCCGCGUGUAUGAAGAAGGCCUUCGGGUUGUAAAGUACUUUCAGCGGGGAGGCGUUACCCGCAGAAUAAGCACCGGCUAACUCCGUGCCAGCAGCCGCGGUAAUUC